AUUCGCGGCCUAUCAGCUUGUUGGUGAGGUAGUGGCUCACCAAGGCGACGACGGGUAGCCGGCCUGAGAGGGUGACCGGCCACACUGGGACUGAGACACGGCCCAGACUCCUACGGGAGGCAGCAGUAGGGAAUAUUGCACAAUGGGCGAAAGCCUGAUGCAGCGACGCCGCGUGAGGGAUGACGGCCUUCGGGUUGUAAACCUCUUUCAGCUUUGAAGAAGCCUUCGGGUGACGGUAGGAGCAGAAGAAGCACCGGCUAACUACGUGCCAGCAGCCGCGGUAAUACGUAGGGUGCGAGCGUUGUCCGGAAUUAUUGGGCGUAAAGAGCUUGUAGGCGGUUUGUCACGUCUGCUGUGAAAACUCGGGGCUUAACUCCGAGCUUGCAGUGGGUACGGGCAGACUAGAGUGUGGUAGGGGAGACUGGAAUUCCUGGUGUAGCGGUGGAAUGCGCAGAUAUCAGGAGGAACACCGAUGGCGAAGGCAGGUCUCUGGGCCAUUACUGACGCUGAGAAGCGAAAGCGUGGGGAGCGAACAGGAUUAGAUACCCUGGUAGUCCACGCCGUAAACGGUGGGCGCUAGGCGUGGGACUCAUUCCACGAGUUCCGUGCCGCAGCUAACGCAUUAAGCGCCCCGCCUGGGGAGUACGGAAU
rnacentral:rRNA from 1 species